AGGAUCAAACCACGGAGCUACCAGCAGGCUGUGAAAGGCCUUGCUUCAGAGGAUAAUCCUGAACAUGAGGAGACAACAGAGGAGCAGAUGACACAAACCUGCUUUGCAGUGGGGAGGACCUGGAUCAACUAUUGGAUACUGUGGGAAUUGAAAUGGAAAAAUUACAGAGUUGGUUUGACACAAAUAAACUAACACUAAAUUUAAGUAAAACAAAGUAUAUUAUAUUUGGAAACCGUCCGACCAACACAGACAAAAUUCUUACAAUAAAUAAUAUAGAUAUAGAAAGAGUAAAUGAAGUAAAAUUUCUUGGAGUGCUUAUAGAUAAUAAAUUAAGUUGGAAACCACAUAUAAUGUAUAUCAAAUCAAAAAUUUCAAAAUCACUAGCAGUAUUAUAUAAAGCAAAAGACCUUAUAAAUCAGUCAUCAUUAUAUUCCUUGUACUGCUCCUUCAUACUCCCAUACAUUAUGUACUGUGUGGAGGUGUGGGGCAAUACAUACAAAACAAACACAGAUCCAAUCUUCAUUCU